UGGUCCGUCACGUGGGUCCCGGAGAAUAAAGCAGGAGGAGGGAGGAAGUCCUCGAAAUGAGACGGCCAGGGACGGCCAGCAGCUGAUAGGCUGGGUUUUGAGCAGGGAGGAAGAGGAACGCCUUUGACGCCCAGGGCAUGCUGCCCCCUGCAGGAUGCUGCAGCCUGCGGGGUGUACAAGAGGAGAGAACACCCUGGAGAGAGGGCACCGGGCGAGGUGGGCAGUCGGGCAGAGCCAGGAGACCAUGCCCAGGAGAGGGUCAUGCCCCCAAGGGAAAAAAUAUGUUUCAGCUUUCAAGAAGCCCUUUUUCACCAUUUGGCUUUUCCAUAUGAAGACGCAUUUGCAUAUGUUGACCUCAACGCAAUCGCGAAGUCUCCCCAGUGUUAAUGACAAUAUAUGUCACUUCGGAAUGCCUUUGGCUGCAGAGACCAGAAAACUCCGUAGGGCACUGAAGCUGCCAGGGUCCUCUUCUCUCUCUCCCCUCGCCAAUCUCAAGUUGCCAACAUCCGUCUUGUUUGCCGACUCGAGCUUGCAAGGUGGCAGCCCUAACACCCACACCUGCCUUCAAGGACGUUAUUGGGGGGCCACGCAAACAGCUGUCUGAACCCCCACUAUCCUGCUUCUCUCCCCCCCCCCCCCCCCCCCGCCUCAGCAGGUCUUGUUUACUUUAUCUCUUUGGCCAGAACUGUGUCUACUUUGCCACCCCCAAGCCCAGCCGAUGUGGUGAAAACUUGCCGUCAUGUGCCUGCUUGUUGCCGUACCAAGGUUAGAGCACCUACAGACUGGUGAUGUCUCUAAAUACAAGAGACGGCCUAGAAUGCAUGCUUUUAAGAGGUAAGUGCAUCCUAUUGAGAGGCUUAAAAUAGCAAAGCUCUUUCCACCGGGAAUUUGUGACUCCUACGUCUGGGCCCCAGAUCCCACCUGCCGUCUUAGCCAGAAGUUUUCUUAGCUAAAAGUUUUCUCGCAAUGGGAUACAGCAAAUGGGACCUCAUGAACCGGCUGACACAUGGCCAGGUCUGUCUUUCAGACUCAGCAGAGUUUCCAUUGAUUCUUGAGCGUUCUUGUACUUUCUGGUCAAUGUCAAUAGAUUGGGGACACUUUUAAAGAAACAUAUAAAUUACUACUCCAGGUUUUUGCUUAAUUAUUUAUAAUGGUAGGCAUUUGCCUAAUGGAAAUUUUUAUUCUGUGCUGAAUGUCGGGAUCCAUGGGGCUCACACGUCCCCUUUGAGUAAAAGGUUCGCUCAUGGAUUAUCGCACUCAUAGAUCCGUGGAAAUGCAGAGUCAGAGCAGAGGCAGAGUGUAGACAGAGAGAGAGGUUACAGAAGGUCUGAGCUGUUCUGGAAACAAAUGCAUUGGAAAUGCUGGGGCCCAAAGUUGAAGGGGUCCCACGUAGUGAGGUGGAACCUCCAGGCACGUGGAUACAAACAUGGGUGUGCAGUAAGUGGGGGUGUAGACAAGAAAGCUCACCAGAAACAGGCUUUUACUCUCUCUAAAGAGAAUUAAAACUUUGAAAGACCAGUCAUUCCAGUGGAAAAGGCUGUUCCAUUACCUUCCAUCCCUGCAGCGCCCUCUGCU
rnacentral:lncRNA from 1 species